UAUUGAGAAAUGUUCAUGGAUAACAUUAGCAGUGGAGAGGAGGAAGACUGGAUAGGAACAAGAGUGAAGGAGAUAGAAGAGUUAAGAUUGGAGAGGAAGGAGAAGGAAACAUUAAAGGAGUAAAAAGAGUGAAGCAAGGAGAGUGUAGAAGAGUGAGGUGGAAAGGUGAAGAGAAGGAAAGGAAGACGAGUGAAGAAAAGAGGAGGAGAAAGAUUGGAGGAGAAGAAAAAGUGAAGAGUGCAGCCGGAGAAGAACGGCAGUGGUAGAACAUCAGCAGACGAAAAAGCACAAAGCCUCUCUGAUUGGCUGUGUUGGUUUGCCCUCUGUCACCACAUUCUUCAAGAAGGUAGAGACUUCCCAAGAAGAAUAUGGUUUAGCUGUGGAGGAGGGUGUCUUUGCAUACCACACUAUGCGACACAAUCAUAGUUACAGAUCUAUGGACUGCACAGCACAACUGACACGGAAGCUUUAUGAGCCAACGUUUACAUGUGCUAGGACAAAAUGUGACGCCAUAGUGAGUAACGUGUUAGCAUCACGUGCUAGGACACAAUGUGACGCCAUAGUGAGUAACUUGUUAGCAUCACGUGCUAGGACAAAAUGUAAAGCCAUAGUAAGUAGCGUGUUAGCACCAUGUGCUAGGACAAAAUGUGAAGCCAUAGUGAGUAAUGUGUUAGCACCAUGGGCAACUACUUUGGUAACGCAGGACCUAGACCAGGUUGAAUUUGUGUCCCUGGCCAUUGAUGUGUCCAAUCAUGAACAUGUAAAGCUGCUGCCAGUAGUGGUCAGAUAUUGUAAGAUAUAUGGUGGAAACACAUCUGUGGAAACAAAACUGCUUGAUUUUGUUUAAUUGAAUGGAGAAACAGCAGAGGAAAUCGCAGCUGAGGUCCUGGUGGUCAUCCAAAAAUGUAACCUGGAAAACAUUCUCUGCCGACAACAAAUACCUUCUUUGGAGGACUGAAUAGGCUGGUGGAGGGUCAAUGUCCAUACCAACCUUGGAGGACUGAAUAGGCUGGGGAGGGUCAAUGUCCAUACCAACCUUAGAGGACUGAAUAGGCUGGGGAGGGUCAAUGUCCAUACCAACCUUAGAGGACUGAAUAGGCUGGGGAGGGUCAAUGUCCAUACCAACCUUAGAGGACUGAAUAGGCUGGGGAGGGUCAAUGUCCAUACCAACCUUAGAGGACUGAAUAGGCUGGGGAGGGUCAAUGUCCAUACCAACCUUAGAGGACUGAAUAGGCUGGGGAGGGUCAAUGUCCAUACCAACCUUAGAGGACUGAAUAGGCUGGGGAGGGUCAAUGUCCAUACCAACCUUAGAGGACUGAAUAGGCUGGGGAGGGUCAAUGUCCAUACCAACCUUAGAGGACUG